GAUGAACGCUGGCGGCGUGCCUAAUACAUGCAAGUCGAGCGAACGGACGAGAAGCUUGCUUCUCUGAUGUUAGCGGCGGACGGGUGAGUAACACGUGGAUAACCUACCUAUAAGACUGGGAUAACUUCGGGAAACCGUAGCUAAUACCGGAUAAUAUUUUGAACCGCAUGGUUCAAAAGUGAAAGACGGUCUUGCUGUCACUUAUAGAUGGAUCCGCGCUGCAUUAGCUAGUUGGUAAGGUAACGGCUUACCAAGGCAACGAUGCAUAGCCGACCUGAGAGGGUGGUCGGCCACACUGGAACUGGGACACGGUCCCGACUCCUACGGGAGGCAGCAGUAGGGAAUCUUCCGCAAUGGGCGAAAGCCUGACGGAGCAACGCCGCGUGAGUGAUGGAGGUCUUCGGAUCGUAAAACUCUGUUAUUAGGGAAGAACAUAUGUGUAAGUAACUGUGCACAUCUUGACGGUACCUAAUCAGAAAGCCACGGCUAACUACGUG
rnacentral:rRNA from 1 species